GGGAGUAUAGCCAAGUGGUAAGGCAAAGGUCUGCAAAACCUUUAUUCCCCGGUUCAAAUCCGGGUACUCCCU
rnacentral:tRNA from 2 species